rnacentral:lncRNA from 1 species
GAAAAAAAUAUACUGUAGUAGAAUAAAGGGGUAGGGGUCAUCAGCAAAUCUGUUGGAGCUAAUACGGCUUGCAUUCGCUUGAUAAUGCUGACCUUCCCGCCUGGAGGGGGAGAUCCUGUCCUUCAGUGUGUGGUCUGGGGGUGCUGGUUGUCUGGCUGGCUGGCAGGAUCUUGGCCAACACUGUCCCUGACCAGGUCAGCCCCAUCCACUCUGGAGCACUUUGAGAACACGGAGCUCAAAACAACAACAGCAGACAUUGUGUCUCUGCAGAUAAGACUGUUAAAGCCAGGAUUUUGUGGGAUAAGACUGGUGCAAUACUCAUGACUGCGAGACGCCCUGGAUGAUCCUUGUGGAGAGAGGAGGCCUCUGAGCUGUCCUCUCUGAAGCCCCAGCUGGAAGAGCUCGGGGUCCCUCUGUACUCCGUAGUGAAAGAGGAUAUCGGCAUAGAGAUCCAGAACUUCAGACCCUACUUCAAUGGCGAGAUCUUUGUGGAUGAGAAGGUCCGAUUAUUAUAUACAGUGCAUUCGGAAAGUAUUCAGACCCCUAAAAUUGAUUAAAUAGUGUUUUUCCCUCAAAUCUACACACAAUACCCCAUAAUGACAAAGCAAAAACAGGUUUUUAGAAAUGUUUGCAAGUGUAUAAAAAAACUAAAUAAAUGAAAUACAACAUUUACAUAAGUAUUCAGAUCCUUUAGUCAGUACUUUGUUGAAGCACCUUUGGCAGUGAUUACAGCCUCAAGUGUUCUUGGGUAUGAUGCUACAAGAUUGGCACACCUUUAUGUGGGGAGUUUCUCCCAUUCUUCUCUGCA